rnacentral:rRNA from 1 species
ACUCCCAACGGAGGCUGUGAUGGGUAGGGGAGCGUCGUCUGCCGGGUGAAGCAGCCGCGUAAGCGAGUUGUGGACGGUUGACGAGUGAGAAUGCAGGCAUGAGUAGCGAUUCACACGUGGGAAACGUGUGCGCCGAUUGACUAAGGGUUCCUGGGUCAAGCUGAUCUGCCCAGGGUAAGUCGGGACCUAAGGCGAGGCCGACAGGCGUAGUCGAUGGAUAACCGGUUGAUAUUCCGGUACCCGCUGUGAAGCGUCAAACAUCGAGCAUCGUGAUGCUAAGGCCGUGAAACGCCGGGUGCGUCUUCGGACAAUCUCGGAGUGGUGGAGCCGCCGGCCCAAGCGGUUAGUAGGUGAGUGAUGGGGUGACGCAGGAAGGUAGUCCAUCCCGGGCGGUGGUUGUCCCGGGGUAAGGGUGUAGGCCGGACGGUAGGUAAAUCCGCCGUUCAUUAAGGCUGAGACCUGAUGCCGAGCCGAUUGUGGUGAAGUGGAUGAUCCUAUGCUGUCGAGAAAAGCCUCUAGCGAGUUUCAUGGCGGCCCGUACCCUAAACCGACUCAGGUGGUCUGGUAGAGAAUACCGAGGCGUUCGGGUGAACUAUGGUUAAGGAACUCGGCAAAAUGCCCCCGUAACUUCGGGAGAAGGGGGGCCAUGUCUGGUGAGCCGUCUUGCACGGUGAGCUGGGUGUGGCCGCAGAGACCAGCGAGAAGCGACUGUUUACUAAAAACACAGGUCCGUGCGAAGCCGUAAGGCGAUGUAUACGGACUGACGCCUGCCCGGUGCUGGAACGUUAAGGGGACCGGUUAGUCACUCUUCGGGGUGGCGAAGCUGAGAACUUAAGCGCCAGUAAACGGCGGUGGUAACUAUAACCAUCCUAAGGUAGCGAAAUUCCUUGUCGGGUAAGUUCCGACCUGCACGAAUGGCGUAACGACUUCUCGACUGUCUCAACCAUAGGCCCGGUGAAAUUGCACUACGAGUAAAGAUGCUCGUUUCGCGCAGCAGGACGGAAAGACCCCGGGACCUUUACUACAGUUUGAUAUUGGUGUUCGGUUCGGCUUGUGUAGGAUAGCUGGGAGACUGUGAAGCUCGGACGCCAGUUCGGGUGGAGUCGUCGUUGAAAUACCAGUCUGGUCGUGCUGGAUGUCUAACCUGGGUCCGUGAUCCGGAUCAGGGACAGUGUCUGAUGGGUAGUUUAACUGGGGCGGUUGCCUCCUAAAGGGUAACGGAGGCGCCCAAAGGUUCCCUCAGCCUGGUUGGUAAUCAGGUGGUGAGUGUAAGUGCACAAGGGAGCUUGACUGUGAGACCGACGGGUCGAGCAGGGACGAAAGUCGGGACUAGUGAUCCGGCGGUGGCUUGUGGAAGCGCCGUCGCUCAACGGAUAAAAGGUACCCCGGGGAUAACAGGCUGAUCUUCCCCAAGAGUCCAUAUCGACGGGAUGGUUUGGCACCUCGAUGUCGGCUCGUCGCAUCCUGGGGCUGGAGUCGGUCCCAAGGGUUGGGCUGUUCGCCCAUUAAAGCGGUACGCGAGCUGGGUUUAGAACGUCGUGAGACAGUUCGGUCCCUAUCCGCUGCGCGCGUAGGAGUCUUGAGAAGGGCUGUCCCUAGUACGAGAGGACCGGGACGGACGAACCUCUGGUGUGCCAGUUGUUCUGCCAAGGGCAUGGCUGGUUGGCUACGUUCGGGAGGGAUAACCGCUGAAAGCAUCUAAGCGGGAAGCCUGCUUCGAGAUGAGGACUCCCACCCACUUGA